rnacentral:rRNA from 1 species
UAGGGGAUAUUGCACGAUGGGCGGAAGCCUGAUGCAGCAACGCCGCGUGAGUGAUGAAGGCCCUCGGGUCGUAAAACUCUUUUCAAGAGGAAGAGGAAGGACGGUACUCUUGGAAUAAGCCUCGGCUAACUACGUGCCAGCAGCCGCGGUAACACGUAGGAGGCGAGCGUUAUUCGGAUUUACUGGGCGUAAAGCGCGUGUAGGCGGCUGAUCAAGUUGGAUGUGAAAGCUCCCGGCUUAACCGGGAGAGGACGUUCAAAACUGAACAGCUUGAGUAUGAGAGAGGAAAAUGGAAUUCCGGGUGUAGUGGUGAAAUGCGUAGAUAGCCGGAGGAACACCAGUG